GAUUCUGGCUCAGGAUGAACGCUGGCGGCGUGCCCAAUACAUGCAAGUGAAACGGGUAUCUUCGGAUACCAGUCGCGGACGGGUGAGUAAUACAUAGGCAACCUGCCUUUAUGAGGGGGAUAACCGAGGGAAACUUUGGCUAAUACCGCAUGAAGACUCUAAGGCAUCUUAGAGGGAUAAGAGUUGGGAAACAACGCAUGAAGAUGGGCUUAUGGCGCAUUAGCUAGUUGGUGGGAUAGAAGCCCACCAAGGUAAUGAUGCGUAGCCGACCUGAGAGGGUGAACGGCCACAUUGGGACUGAGACACGGCCCAAACUCCUACGGGAGGCAGCAGUAGGGAAUUUUCGGCAAUGGGGGGAACCCUGACCGAGCAACGCCGCGUGAAGGAAAGAAGGUUUUCGGAUUGUAAACUUCUGUUAUAAGGGAAGAACGGAUUGGAUAGGGAAUGAUCUGAUAGUGACGGUACCUUAUUAGAAAGCCACGGCUAACUACGUGCCAGCAGCAGC
rnacentral:rRNA from 1 species